rnacentral:rRNA from 1 species
AGUCGAACGCCCACCCUUCGGGUGGGUAGUGGCAGACGGGUGAGUAACACCUGUUGAACGUACCCUUUGGUUCGGGACAACUCUAGGAAGCUGGAGCUAAUACCGGAUACGCCCUUUUGGGGAAAGGUUUACUGCCCAAGGAUCGGCCCGGGUCUGAUUAGCUAGUUGGUGGGGUAACGGCCUACCAAGGCGACGAUCAGUAGCUGGUCUGAGAGGAUGAUCAUCCACACUGGGACUGAGACACGGCCCAGACUCCUACGGGAGGCAGCAGUGGGAAUAUUGGACAAUGGGCGCAAGCCUGAUCCAGCCAUGCCGCGUGAGUGAUGAAGGCCUUAAGGUUGUAAAGCUCUUUUAUCCGGGACGAUAAUGACGGUACCGGAGGAAUAAGCCCCGGCUAACUUCCUGCCAGCAGCCGCGGUAAUACGAAGGGGGCUAGCGUUGCUCCGAAUCACUGGGCGUAAAGGGCGCGUAUGCGGCGUUUUAAGUCUGGGGUGAAAGCCUGUGGCUCAACCACAGAAUGGUCCUUCCAUACUGG